UACGUAGGGUGCGAGCGUUAAUCGGAAUUACUGGGCGUAAAGAGCGCGCAGGCGGUCGAUCAAGUCGCGUGUGAAAGCCCCCGGCUCAACUGGGGAGGGUCACGCGAUACUGAUCGACUCGAAGGCAGGAGAGGGUAGUGGAAUUCCCGGUGUAGUGGUGAAAUGCGUAGAUAGUCGGAGGAACACCAGUGGCGAAGGCGGCGAUCUGGGAAGAUACUGACGCUGAGGUGCGAAAGCGUGGGGAGCAAACAGG
rnacentral:rRNA from 1 species